GCCGUGGCCGAGUGGUAAUGUUCACGACUUUGAUUCGUCAGGUCGUGGGUUCGAGGCCCGCUACGGUCUGAUGCU